rnacentral:miRNA from 1 species
AUAAUGUAGUGUGUGUGUAUAUAAUGUAAUGUAGUGUGUGUGUGUAUAUAAUGCACAUACUACACACUCUGCAUUAUAUACACACACACUACAUUA